UGGGGAAUAUUGCGCAAUGGGGGGAACCCUGACGCAGCCAUGCCGCGUGAAUGAAGAAGGCCUUAGGGUUGUAAAGUUCUUUCGGUAUUGAGGAAGGUUGAUGUGUUAAUAGCACAUCAAAUUGACGUUAAAUACAGAAGAAGCACCGGCUAACUCCGUGCCAGCAGCCGCGGUAAUACGGAGGGUGCGAGCGUUAAUCGGAAUAACUGGGCGUAAAGGGCACGCAGGCGGUUAUUUAAGUGAGGUGUGAAAGCCCUGGGCUUAGCCUAGGAAUUGCAUUUCAGACUGGGUAACUAGAGUACUUUAGGGAGGGGUAGAAUUCCACGUGUAGCGGUGAAAUGCGUAGAGAUGUGGAGGAAUACCGAAGGCGAAGGCAGCCCCUUGGGAAUGUACUGACGCUCAUGUGCGAAAGCGUGGGGAGCAAACAGGAUUAGAUACCCUGGUAGUCCACGCUGUAAACGCUGUCGAUUUGGGGGUUGGGGUUUAACUCUGGCGCCCGUAGCUAACGUGAUAAAUCGACCGCCUGGGGAGUACGGCCGCAAGGUUA
rnacentral:rRNA from 1 species